GAGUUUGAUCGUGGCUCAGAUUGAACGCUGGCGGCAUGCCUUACACAUGCAAGUCGAACGGCAGCAUGAUCUAGCUUGCUAGAUUGAUGGCGAGUGGCGAACGGGUGAGUAAUACAUCGGAACGUGCCCUGUAGUGGGGGAUAACUAGUCGAAAGAUUAGCUAAUACCGCAUACGACCUGAGGGUGAAAGUGGGGGACCGCAAGGCCUCAUGCUAUAGGAGCGGCCGAUGUCUGAUUAGCUAGUUGGUGGGGUAAAGGCCCACCAAGGCGACGAUCAGUAGCUGGUCUGAGAGGACGAUCAGCCACACUGGGACUGAGACACGGCCCAGACUCCUACGGGAGGCAGCAGUGGGGAAUUUUGGACAAUGGGCGAAAGCCUGACCCAGCAAUGCCGCGUGUGUGAAGAAGGCCUCGG
rnacentral:rRNA from 1 species